rnacentral:rRNA from 1 species
AAAUUGAAGAGUUUGAUCAUGGCUCAGAUUGAACGCUGGCGGCAGGCCUAACACAUGCAAGUCGAGCGGUAGCACAGAGAGCUUGCUCUCGGGUGACGAGCGGCGGACGGGUGAGUAAUGUCUGGGAAACUGCCUGAUGGAGGGGAUAACUACUGGAAACGGUAGCUAAUACCGCAUAACGUCGCAAGACCAAAGUGGGGGACCUUCGGGCCUCAUGCCAUCAGAUGUGCCCAGAUGGGAUUAGCUAGUAGGUGGGGUAACGGCUCACCUAGGCGACGAUCCCUAGCUGGUCUGAGAGGAUGACCAGCCACACUGGAACUGAGACACGGUCCAGACUCCUACGGGAGGCAGCAGUGGGGAAUAUUGCACAAUGGGCGCAAGCCUGAUGCAGCCAUGCCGCGUGUGUGAAGAAGGCCUUCGGGUUGUAAAGCACUUUCAGCGGGGAGGAAGGCGAUAAGGUUAAUAACCUUGUCGAUUGACGUUACCCGCAGAAGAAGCACCGGCUAACUCCGUGCCAGCAGCCGCGGUAAUACGGAGGGUGCAAGCGUUAAUCGGAAUUACUGGGCGUAAAGCGCACGCAGGCGGUCUGUCAAGUCGGAUGUGAAAUCCCCGGGCUCAACCUGGGAACUGCAUUCGAAACUGGCAGGCUAGAGUCUUGUAGAGGGGGGUAGAAUUCCAGGUGUAGCGGUGAAAUGCGUAGAGAUCUGGAGGAAUACCGGUGGCGAAGGCGGCCCCCUGGACAAAGACUGACGCUCAGGUGCGAAAGCGUGGGGAGCAAACAGGAUUAGAUACCCUGGUAGUCCACGCCGUAAACGAUGUCGAUUUGGAGGUUGUGCCCUUGAGGCGUGGCUUCCGGAGCUAACGCGUUAAAUCGACCGCCUGGGGAGUACGGCCGCAAGGUUAAAACUCAAAUGAAUUGACGGGGGCCCGCACAAGCGGUGGAGCAUGUGGUUUAAUUCGAUGCAACGCGAAGAACCUUACCUGGUCUUGACAUCCACAGAACUUUCCAGAGAUGGAUUGGUGCCUUCGGGAACUGUGAGACAGGUGCUGCAUGGCUGUCGUCAGCUCGUGUUGUGAAAUGUUGGGUUAAGUCCCGCAACGAGCGCAACCCUUAUCCUUUGUUGCCAGCGGUCCGGCCGGGAACUCAAAGGAGACUGCCAGUGAUAAACUGGAGGAAGGUGGGGAUGACGUCAAGUCAUCAUGGCCCUUACGACCAGGGCUACACACGUGCUACAAUGGCAUAUACAAAGAGAAGCGACCUCGCGAGAGCAAGCGGACCUCAUAAAGUAUGUCGUAGUCCGGAUUGGAGUCUGCAACUCGACUCCAUGAAGUCGGAAUCGCUAGUAAUCGUAGAUCAGAAUGCUACGGUGAAUACGUUCCCGGGCCUUGUACACACCGCCCGUCACACCAUGGGAGUGGGUUGCAAAAGAAGUAGGUAGCUUAACCUUCGGGAGGGCGCUUACCACUUUGUGAUUCAUGACUGGGGUGAAGUCGUAACAAGGUAACCGUAGGGGAACCUGCGGUUGGAUCACCUCCUUA